rnacentral:lncRNA from 1 species
UUUCUCUCAAGUUUUCGUGACUGAGACCAGCAAAAAUGCUGUUAAAGGGAAAUAUAGAAAAUGAGAAUCUGCAUGAGACAGGAUGAUUCUCUGCCCACAGUUAACUCUUGACAAAGUUUUACCCACGUGUAAUAUUAGCAGAGCCAGGCAGCGGUGCUGGUGGAAGAUGUGAAAUCCAGAUAGCUCAUGAUUGCUGAGAGCUAGGCAGCUUUGAUCUCCAAAUUGUUAUUGCUUUCAUUAUUAUUUGAACGGAACUGCCU